UGAGGAAUAUUGGUCAAUGGGCGAGAGCCUGAACCAGCCAAGUAGCGUGCAGGAUGACGGCCCUAUGGGUUGUAAACUGCUUUUAUAUGGGAAUAAAGUGAGGGACGUGUCCCUUAUUGCAUGUACCAUACGAAUAAGGACCGGCUAAUUCCGUGCCAGCAGCCGCGGUAAUACGGAAGGUCCAGGCGUUAUCCGGAUUUAUUGGGUUUAAAGGGAGCGUAGGCUGUUUGUUAAGCGUGUUGUGAAAUGUAAGAGCUCAACUUUUAGAUUGCAGCGCGAACUGGCAGACUUGAGUGCGCACAACGUAGGCGGAAUUCAUGGUGUAGCGGUGAAAUGCUUAGAUAUCAUGACGAACUCCGAUUGCGAAGGCAGCUUACGGGAGCGCAACUGACGCUAAAGCUCGAAGGUGCGGGUAUCGAACAGGAUUAGAUACCCUGGUAGUCCGCACAGUAAACGAUGGAUGCCCGCUGUUAGCACCUAGUGUUAGCGGCUAAGCGAAAGCAUUAAGCAUCCCACCUGGGGAGUACGCCGGCAACGGUGAAACUCAAAGGAAUUGACGGGGGCCCGCACAAGCGGAGGAACAUGUGGUUUAAUUCGAUGAUACGCGAGGAACCUUACCCGGGCUUGAAUUGCAGAUGUUUAUAUCAGAGAUGAUAUAUUCCCUUCGGGGCAUUUGUGAAGGUGCUGCAUGGUUGUCGUCAGCUCGUGCCGUGAGGUGUCGGCUUAAGUGCCAUAACGAGCGCAACCCCUUUUUUUAGUUGCCAUCAGGUAAUGCUGGGCACUCUAGAGAUACUGCCACCGUAAGGUGUGAGGAAGGUGGGGAUGACGUCAAAUCAGCACGGCCCUUACGUCCGGGGCUACACACGUGUUACAAUGGGUGGUACAGAGAGUUGGUUGUACGCAAGUGCAAUCUAAUCCUAAAAACCAUUCUCAGUUCGGACUGGGGUCUGCAACCCGACCCCACGAAGCUGGAUUCGCUAGUAAUCGCGCAUCAGCCAUGGCGCGGUGAAUACGUUCCCGGGCCU
rnacentral:rRNA from 2 species